rnacentral:rRNA from 1 species
GACGAACGCUGGCGGCGUGCUUAACACAUGCAAGUCGAACGGAAAGGCCCUGCUUGCAGGGUACUCGAGUGGCGAACGGGUGAGUAACACGUGGGUGAUCUGCCCUGCACUUCGGGAUAAGCCUGGGAAACUGGGUCUAAUACCGGAUAGGAGCCAUUUUUAGUGUGAUGGUUGGAAAGUUUUUUCGGUGUAGGAUGAGCUCGCGGCCUAUCAGCUUGUUGGUGGGGUAAUGGCCUACCAAGGCGGCUACGGGUAGCCGGACUGAGAGGGUGGACGGCCACAUUGGGACUGAGAUAAGGCCGAGACUCCUACGGGAGGCAGCAGUGGGGAAUAUUGCACAAUGGGCGCAAGCCUGAUGCAGCGACGCCGCGUGGGGGAUGACGGCCUUAGGGUUGUAAACUCCUUUCGCUAGGGACGAAGCUUUUUGUGACGGUACCUAGAUAAGAAGCACCGGCUAACUACGUG